GACGAACGCUGGCGGCGUGCUUAACACAUGCAAGUCGAACGGUAAGGCCCUUCGGGGUACACGAGUGGCGAACGGGUGAGUAACACGUGGGUGAUCUGCCCUGCACUUCGGGAUAAGCCUGGGAAACUGGGUCUAAUACCGGAUAGGACUCCGGACUGCAUGGUCUGGGGUGGAAAGCUUUUGCGGUGUGGGAUGGGCCCGCGGCCUAUCAGCUUGUUGGUGGGGUGAUGGCCUACCAAGGCGACGACGGGUAGCCGGCCUGGGAGGGUGACCGGCCACACUGGGACGGAGAUACGGCCCAGACUCCUACGGGAGGCAGCAGUGGGGAAGAUUGCACAAUGGGCGCAAGCCUGAUGCAGCGACGCCGCGUGAGGGAUGACGGCCUUCGGGUUGUAAACCUCUUUCAGCAUCGACGAAGCGAAAGUGACGGUAGGUGCAGAAGAAGGACCGGCCAACUACGUGCCAGCCGCCGCGGUAA
rnacentral:rRNA from 1 species